GACAAGCCAGCGUUUAGCCGUUAGAACGCCGACCUACACAGUCGUUCAUCAAAACAAAACACACCAAAUAUUCGUAGUAGCCCGAACUACGAAUGCUCUGAUUUCCUUAUUGCACCAUAAGGAUACGUAGGCAGGAGAUUGUUGUAUCUUCGCGAGCACACUAAUAAAAAACCUCCCAUUUUCCCCUCCUGAGGUCUUCAUCCAUAUCUAUCAUCAAUU
rnacentral:lncRNA from 1 species